UUAACAACAACUAAUCAAUGUAUUAAUUAAAAUCCAUCAAUUAUGAUUAAACAACAACCAAAAAUAGGGAAGAGGAAUUAGGUUUAUGUGCUUGUGGCCUUUGAAAUUUCUCACUCUUUCACUCACGAACAAACGGCGGCCGGAGACGGUAACACCACUCUCCUAUUCUCCGAUCGAAGCCUUCCUCCGCCAUGAAUUGGAGAAAAAUCUUAUCUCAACUUUCCUCUUUCCGAUGUCCCUCACUCUCAAUCUCUUCUUGUGAACGGCGGCGACGGCGCAGUGGAUCUCCCUUCUCCGAUUCUCACUCACUACGACGGCGGUGCUCUCAACAAACUCUCUUCUCCGGUAUCGAUCUCUCAAACCUCGGCUUUCAAUCUCUUUCAACUUCUCUGAUAUUCCUCUGCUUCUUGCGUGAUACUGAGUCAUCGUAGAUUGGAGAAGCUUGAUUCUAAAUAUCUAAUAAUGAAUUGAAGAUGAUUGUUGAGAUUGAUACAGAUUCGUUAUGAAUUUCCUCUGGACAAUUGGAGUUUCAAGAGAUCGUAGAUCUUGUGAUUCUGAGGAUUCGAUUGAGUGAAUUGAAGAGUACUGAAGGCAAACGCGAUGUUAAUGUUGAAGUUGUUAUAUCCCGGUCUUGGUCAUGAUGAUGAAUUGGGAGAGGAAUCUUGAAUGAUGAAGCUUGAAGAGUGCAAUUUGAAGGUUGAAUUAGAGAGAAGAUUGAAAAUAGGAAGAGGUUCUGAGAUAAGAUAGAGAAUCGAAGGAAUGAGAUGAUUGAAGUGUUGAUUGUGGUUGAUGAUUGGAGGAUUAUGGUGAUUCGAUGAUGAUGCGAUGAUGAAGAUGGAGAGAGGAUUCAAAAGAGACUCAAAGUUUGUUACAGAUUCGGUUCUGAUUUUCUCCUCCAAUUUUCUGUUACGUUUUUCGGUUUUCUGCAAGAUUCCUCUUACGUCUUUUUCUUUUCUCCUCUAAUUCUUCAGUUAUGAGUUUUUUUUUGCUACUAGUGAAUUGGACCACAGUGUCUUUUUGGGUGAAGUGCAGGCUCGGUUUUGGUUGUGAGGGAUGGCUGAACCGGUUCAAUCGUUCUUGCUGGUUUGUUUCGAUAUGGCAUACGGGUUCUGAUGGUACCGUAUUGGUGCUGCACAUCUUUACACUGAGCCGGUUUUGAAGUUCACGGUUUGGACCGUUUUUUGAGUGCAAGGCGGUUCCUUCGGUCUUAUUUGCUUUUUUUUGUUUUUUGGAUAGAAGAUAUUGUAUUGGGUUAAUUGGAGCAGAGUUGGAAUAUCAGAAACAAAGCAUAUUUCUUUUUUUGGUUUUUUAUGAGUGAUAAGUUUGAAUAUGUAAGAUUGGACUUGGAUUUUUUUUGACACUUUCUUUGUAAUGGAUAUUGAAACGUAUAAUGAA